rnacentral:rRNA from 1 species
AUGUCAGAUAUUGUACACAAUCAUGCUGAACAUGUAGAGAAAAAGAGAAGAGUUUUGCGCGGCAAUACAAUGUCAUGCAGACAUUGCUCCAUGGUGGGUUCAAUGGCAAACCCUCCCCACCCCUCUCAAGAUUGUAAUCCAGAGGAAGAUAUCUAUUCUGAGGCGGAUUCAGAUGCCGCUGACCACUCCUAUUUACCUCCAAGGUGUUUUCUCUACCUUGGCAUGGCGAUGUUAGUCAUAUCAUGCAUAUGUUGCCUUGCAGUGCCUACUUUUGACAUCAUAUAUGACAUAUUCUUAGUUUAG